UAGUGGCGAACGGGUGAGUAACACGUGGGCAAUCUGCCCUUCACUCUGGGACAAGCCCUGGAAACGGGGUCUAAUACCGGAUACCACUCCUGCCCGCAUGGGUGGGGGUUGAAAGCUCCGGCGGUGAAGGAUGAGCCCGCGGCCUAUCAGCUUGUUGGUGGGGUAAUGGCCCACCAAGGCGACGACGGGUAGCCGGCCUGAGAGGGCGACCGGCCACACUGGGACUGAGACACGGCCCAGACUCCUACGGGAGGCAGCAGUGGGGAAUAUUGCACAAUGGGCGAAAGCCUGAUGCAGCGACGCCGCGUGAGGGAUGACGGCCUUCGGGUUGUAAACCUCUUUCAGCAGGGAAGAAGCGAAAGUGACGGUACCUGCAGAAGAAGCGCCGGCUAACUACGUGCCAGCAGCCGCGGUAAUACGUAGGGCGCAAGCGUUGUCCGGAAUUAUUGGGCGUAAAGAGCUCGUAGGCGGCUUGUCACGUCGGAUGUGAAAGCCCGAGGCUUAACC
rnacentral:rRNA from 1 species